CCACAUUCACCGCAACAUCCUAAACCCUCUGCCCCGGUACAAGAUGACUCAGUACAAGAUGACUCAGAGGGGGAUGAGUUGAAUGUUGAGCUCCAGGGGAAUAACCAGCAGGUAACUAGAAGCCAGACUAGGAAAAGGCGGGAGGACCUCCCCAGCUGAUAGCCUGGCUCGGUGAGGGAGAAAUCGCGAUUUCAGUGUGUUGUGUGUUGUGUCCCGAUUUCAGUGUGGUGUGUCCCAGUUUCAGUGUGGUGUGUCUGUUACAUCCCGACAUGCGUGCUUGUGUGUGUGUGUGUGUGUAUGUGUGAAGCGCGGUUCGGCGUUACUAAGAUACAGAGACGUGGCCCGGCGGUGCCGGAGAGCGCAUGCGCGGGGCAGCAGUCCACACUGCUUGAUAGAGCGGAUAGCGCGCAUGUGCGGCACGGGCUGUCCCUGGCGAGGCAGGGGAGCGCGGCGCGAGGAUUGCAAAGGUGCUUUAGGCAUAGCCUACCUGAUAGCGCAGCAGGCGCGUGGGCACAAGCUGCAGUUUGAAGAGCUGCUUUGAACACCACUAGCUGAUAGCGCAGCUAGUGAGAGCGUGGUACAAGAGACAGCAAUUCGGACCGCCGAGAAGCGAUAGACCCACGUGAGUCGAGUUAAAGGGCUGAUCACUACAGCUGACCAUUAGAGAGUAACGAGCCAACCCGGAAACCUGAAGGUCACCUUGAAGAAAAACUAACAGACUCAGUGUGGGUAAUCCAGAUGGACCAAGAAGGGGAACAGAAAGGAUACACUUACCCCUUGGCUGAUGAUUUAUAGAGUAGUGUGUAAAGAAAUACGUUGUGAUUGUUA